GGAGCCGUAGCGAAAGCGAGUUUUAACUGAGCGUUCAGUUACUUGACGUAGACCCGAAACCGGGCGACCUACCCAUGAGCAGGACGAAGCGAAAGUAAAAUUUCGGGGAGGUCCGAACCCACGAGCGUUGAAAAGCUCGGGGAUGACUUGUGGGUAGCGGUGAAAUUCCAAUCGAGCCCGGAGAUAGCUGGUUCUCCCCGAAAUAGCUUUAG
rnacentral:rRNA from 1 species